AUGUUGAAACAUUCGUUCCCAUGUGACCACCAAAGUUAAGUAAUGCCAAGCCUGGUCAGUACCUAGAUGGGCGACUGCUUGGGAAUACAAGGUAUUGUAAG